UAGUUCACGUUUCUUGCAUCCACAUCGAGUUUGCCGGAAGCAUCUACUAAGAGUAGAGUUCCCAAAUCCUUAAUUUUUCGUUCAUAUUCUCCUUUUGUUGUAAAGUUUUUUGGUCCACCGUGGGUGAUUUCACCUGCUUCAAAAGAGCUUUGUAGAUUUAAACUUUCCUGCUCCACCUGAAGACAACCUAGUUGUUAUACAUGAAAAGUUUUACUCAAAAUUAGGUCUUGAAAGAAG
rnacentral:lncRNA from 1 species